rnacentral:rRNA from 1 species
CUGUGAGACAGGUGCUGCAUGGCUGUCGUCAGCUCGUGUUGUGAAAUGUUGGGUUAAGUCCCGCAACGAGCGCAACCCUUAUCCUUUGUUGCCAGCGGUCCGGCCGGGAACUCAAAGGAGACUGCCAGUGAUAAACUGGAGGAAGGUGGGGAUGACGUCAAGUCAUCAUGGCCCUUACGACCAGGGCUACACACGUGCUACAAUGGCGCAUACAAAGAGAAGCGACCUCGCGAGAGCAAGCGGACCUCAUAAAGUGCGUCGUAGUCCGGAUUGGAGUCUGCAACUCGACUCCAUGAAGUCGGAAUCGCUAGUAAUCGUGGAUCAGAAUGCCACGGUGAAUACGUUCCCGGGCCUUGUACACACCGCCCGUCACACCAUGGGAGUGGGUUGCAAAAGAAGUAGGUAGCUUAACCUUCGGGAGGGCGCUUACCACUUUGUGAUUCAUGACUGGGGUGAAGUCGUAACAAGGUAACCGUAGGGGAACCUGCGGCUGGAUCACCUC